CGCGGGGUGGAGCAGCCUGGUAGCUCGUCGGGCUCAUAACCCGAAGGUCGUCGGUUCAAAUCCGGCCCCCGACGG
rnacentral:tRNA from 1 species